GAUGAUACUAUAGUCUUCUAUACAUGCAUGGGAUGCUAACUACUUUAGCUGUAAAGUGUGAAGUCUUUCUGUAAUUUCUUUGAGCAAGGCUUCAAUCCUGUUUUCACCAUUGGUUGAAGGAUUAUUGCUGCAAGAGAAGGGCUAAAUGGAGGAAGCACAUACUCUGGAAGAAGAACACACAUGUCUUUUCUGUUAGCCUUUUGUUUUGUCAUUUUUACUAAACUGAUUGAUAUUGAUUGGUUUCUUAUUUCUUUACUUGCCCACUUUCAAAGAUAGCAUAUGCAGCCUAUUUAACCGUCUCUUCUUCUGAGGUCUUUUUAGAAACUAUAUCAAUCUACGUCCAUAAACUUCUCCGUGAUGCACUUAAAGUUGGCUUUGGGAUAGAUUCCUCUAAUAAAAAUAUUUUAGUAUAUAAUAUAGGGAACAAGAGAAAGAUGCAAGGCCGAGGCAUUCUAAGAAAGUUGGAUUUGGGAAGAGUCUGAAUGCUAAAUCUAUAGUUUGUUUAGUUAUCGUACUUGAAUACUCUGAUUUGUACUUCAAAAUAAUUUUAAAAGUGAAUUUACUAAACAACUGGGCAGCUAGAAGGAACCUAAUCACUAUUUAAUGUCUUAAUAAACUUUUCAAGCUGGUUAUCAUGGUCUUU